AGAUUCGAUGUUCUGCCAGGGCAGACGACGAUCAAUCUGACCGGGCCGGAUGGAUCGUCCCAACAAACCGUUAAUCCCGCGCAGCAAUCCUUCGUCUCACACCCACGCACGCCGCAUCUUCCCCACUAACUCCGCCGGUUAUGCAGGCGAAUAUGCGGCCAUCAGAUCCGUCCCUGGAUGUCACCGCCCCACGCCGUUGGCACAGGCUCCCCAUCCCGUCGCUGGAUGGAGGAUGCCGCUGGAGGCGGCCGUGCCAACGACGAGCGUAGGACGCGGGCGGACCUCCCUCACCCUGCCUUGCCGCCCCUCCGGCCCUCAUCAUCCUCGUGCUUCUCCCGCACCGGCGUCUCCCCGCCGCCUCGGCACCUUCCGUAGCAGGCGAGGACCGGAGCCGAGAAUGAGGCGUCCGCACGCGACUAUCUCUCCCUUCGAGCGCCUUCGACGCGCCCCCGACUGUUGCCGCCAACUUUACUGGAAGCUCCACGAUGAUCCAGGUAAUCCCCAAGCAAACCAUUGUCUGCUCACGAUUUCAGAAGAGAAGUGGGGGAGUGUAUUCAUGUGAUGAGUAAGAAGAUAAACUUGUGUGGUUCAGUCACCGGAUCAACUGUUAGAUGCCCAGAAGGUACUGUUAGUGUGUUACUACACCUGAAAUUACAACUCAGCUAGCAGCUUCCUUCACAGUGAGCAGGAGAAGCUCACCGCCGAGGCUGGGUUCAGAACUACAGAUAGGUAGGUAGAUGGAUGAGAAUUAGAUACCCUUUUCCUUUUUCUCCUGUUUAUCUAGAUCGGCUGAUCACCAAGGCAUGUAGCUGUUUGUAACUAAUAUUGGAAGUGCAAAGCAUUCUCACAUAGAUAAUAGAAAAUGGUAGUAAUCCGCUCAGGGAGUGAUUCUCUCUAAUUCAUGGGAGCACCCACAGGGCUGUAAUCGCCGUGAAGAUUCAGCAGUUCGCUCUCACUAAUUCAGGGCGCGUCGAAGGCACCGCGACGGCAGGCCAGUUGCAUUAUUUCUUGCCUGAUAUUUUUAUUUAUUGUUGCAGACUGGGGUAGGAUGCCGAAGAUGUAGAGGUUGUUGCUCCAGUGACGCUGGAGCCCAUUCAAAGGAAGAGAAUAUGCGUGUUUUUCCUCCUAACCAUUUGAGUAGUGUUCUGUGCAAUUUAUGCACAUUUUGAAAAUUUAGUUAUAGACGUCGGAUUUAUCUCCAAUCAUCUAUUGUGCCGUAUCUUCUACAAUCUUUCAUAUUUUAGCAUGAAUUUUUGAAAAUGCGUGUUAGAAAGCUUGUAUAUCAUACAUGGACUGGAAAGCAUACAUGUGCUAUUUUCUUUUGAUUAUCUCCUUUCAGACUGUUCGGGGUUUCUUGAUCAUAAUACUUUGUUCUUGAUACCUCUUUGGGUCUUAGAGAAUUCAGAAUAAGUUCUUACAACAAUCAUUACUGGAUAAAUCAUGUAUGAUACCAUGCUUGCACCCUUAUUUGCAGCUGUAUUUCAGGUUGUUGGCACAAUCAGGUUAGUUUGUUUUUUCUGCUUUUUGGUUAGCACUGAUGAUAAUUUGAACCUGUCAGACGGGGAAAGAUAUGCCCAUUACGAGUGCAUCUUGAUUCAGUUUGAGGAGAAAGAGUAGUUAUUUCAGCUUGUGGCAUGUGUCCACACUUGUUAACCAAUUAACCCUUUUCCAUUUGUGUCUUAAAAGUACUUUUGUUAACAUUUGCAACCUAACAGAGGAUCUACUUUUGCUAAUAGUGGUCAAAUAAAAGAGGAUCCAGAGUUCCAGGCUCUGUGUUGUACAGAAUUAUUCUUUGCCAACAAUAGUUUUGCUAAGUCUCUCUUGCCUCUCAGUGUUACUACAGAGAUGUUAGAAACACAAGGAAUGAUUAACGAUGAAAGAACCACAUAUAGAUCUGUGAUUUCUCCAGUGGCCAAUAAUUCAACUGCAUGGUUUAGGAACCACAAAUAGCUUUGGGUAUUUUCUUUGUACGCAUUAAUAAUUUAAUAUUAUAUAUUGAGAACUGAAAUAAAUAUUUUACGUCAUAUUUAUUUAAAACUUUUCGUAUUAAUAGUGCAAUGCAUAGAUUUAUUUUUCUAUGUUUUUAUGUUUAUUUCCCACUAGACUGAGAAUAUUGAUUAUACCAGACAAGUAGUCAUUGUUGCUUUGAUUCAGAAUGAGAAACAUUAAUUUUCUGAAUCAUUGGUACAAUUAGUUCACACCAAACUAUUCAAAGGUACUGUACCUCAUGUUGGUGAAGAUGGCAGAUUUCAAACAUGGUGGCGAACAAAGGUUUAUAUUGCAGGCGCCUCUGAUUUCGUAAGUUCUUAACAAUUUAAUGAUCAUACAAUAUAUAAGAAUGCAAGGCCCUUCAGUUUUCUACUACCUCGACGGUAAUUGAGAUGACAAGGAAAUACACGGGGAAGCAGAUAACUUGGAUCAUACAAUGUCACAAAUUGUGUUGGCCAAUGUACUUUGCGGCUCAGACAAGGACCUUUAUAUGCACAGCACAAUUUUGUGACAGUAGUCUUUUUAAGAAAAAUGACCCUAUGAACAUACUUAUCAUUAGUUGUUUCCUCAUAGUGGGAACUUUCUAUCCAGCUAAACUGGAGCAUCAGGUAGCUAUCACACACAUCCUUUUGAGAACAAGAACACAUUUAUUUAUAUAUUUGUCUUGUUUUCUGUUUGUGCUUGCAGGAAAACAGUCUAGCUACUAGAGAUUUGAGCUGAAGCACAAGCCUUUCCUCUUGGAAUUGAUUUAGAACCCAAGGGAGGAGUUCCUAUCAUCAAUGCUAGCUGUACAUUCAAAUGCAUAUGCUUGUUUGAGAAGAAGCACAUCCCAUUACUAUUACAUGGCAAAAGCGGCUGCAUGGCAAGGAGAAAGUCGCAACUCCGCCAUGGACUUAUGUGGCGAUGGGAGUAGAGAGAUGGCAAUGCAUGCUGGUAGUGCUAUAAGGCCACGCCAGGGUUUGUGUCAUUGCCGGGUACCGGUAUGUUUCUACCAUUGGCCCUUGUAGAUCCCUUUAGUGAAAGGGCUGUGGUUAUUAGAAUAGAGAUCGUGCCUUGCACGUGCAAGUUUGGUAGAGACGUGCAUUGCACGUGCACGUUUACUAAUUAUUUGUUACAGUCAUCUAUCUUUUCAACAGCCACUGCCUGCAAAACAAAACGGUCACAUUAGUUGCCCUAUCAGUUAAUAUUGAGACAGAUUUACAUGCA